CUUCAGCUGUAUUAGUAUUACAACAGCACAAGGAAAAAACCGUUAGAAAGUUCCUCGUACUUAUGCCGGAUAAACGUCGUCAAUCAGAGCUCAAGAAUCUUAGUUGAAAUUUCGUAAAAUUUUAACUUUUUUCUACUUAAGAACUGUUUUCUUCUUAUUUCAACACGAAGAAUCAAGUUCAUUUCCCAGCAUUUUGAAGACUGCUUCCAUCUUACUGGGAUUUGUUCCUACUGAAUGUUUGUUUCUUCUAACGACAACAAGGAGAAUCAAGUACAUUUCCCACGGUAUUUGAAGACUGCUUCCAAUUGAUCUUCCAUCUAGCUGGCAUUUGUUUUAUCAUUCCAUCAAAUUAGCAGAACAGUACUGACUACAGAGGGUCUGACCAACCCAAAGCACAGUAGACCAUGGGUUCUAAAAGGCAACUUGAAUUACGCAUCAAUCCUAAACCUGAGGAACAUGGUAAUGCCUCUAAGAAGAUGAAGUUGGAUUUUCUUCAGGAAGUCAAAAUUCUUAACCUCGUUAAGUUGAAGGAUUCACCAAGGUUAUGAAAGAUAAAAUUCAAGAACCCGAUACCUCGACUUCACCAAACAAACUUGAUACAGAACAGCAGAUAGAAGAAUUGGAGUUGAAUGGUUGUGCAAAUGUAUUCUAUGGGAAUGACUCAACCCAAGAAUAUGGCUGGACAUGCUGGCAGAAAGCCAUCAAACUGCGAGAAACCAACAACAUUCCUAAAACUAUCUUAGUACAAUCUGCAAAGGAAAAAGUUGCUUUCAAGAACCGUUCAGAAUUACAAACCUUAAAAGAAUUUGGAAGAAAUUUUUGGUGAUAGCCGACGAAGAUGGAAGAUUCAGGCGUUCUUAAUCGCCCAACGUAUUUCGAAGAAAAAUGGAUGGUUUCCGAAUGAAUUUUCUGUAUUCAUCUGUACCAGUUUGCUCUUCGUAAUUGGAAGAAACGGCAAGUGACUCGUCACAGUGCUAUUGCCAUGUCGCUUUACCUGUUUGAAUUGAGUAUUCAUAUCAAAUCGAAAUCCGUAAAGCUCGAAGAAAUCUCAGAAGUGAUUAUUCUUAUUCUCGAACGGUUGUCGUCGAUUGCAAAAUCGGAAGCUGAAAAUAAAGGAUUGGAGAAACUACUAGAAAACAACAUUAUAGACAAUGGGAACGAGCGGAUUAAUCAACUAACAAGCCUGUUGGUGAAAGUAUGCACGUCGUACCAAGGAAAACCCAACGAGUUCGACGAGAAAACAGCGUUAGAAGAUAUCAUGACACUCGUUCUCGAGAAUCCGAACGUGCAUUUAUGCCAACUGCUAGGGAAAAUGUUCGUUCGUUAUCUGGAAUCGCUGCUGAAGUAGCUUGAAGGUAAAGCGACAUUCCAAUAGCACUGUGAAGAGUCACUUGACGUUUCUUCCAAUUACGAAGACCAAACUGGUAUAGAUUGAAUACAGAAAAUUCACUCGGAAACCAUCCAUUUUUCUUGGAAAUACGUUGGGCGAUUAGGAACGCCUGAAUCUUCCAUCUUCGUCGGCUAUCACCAAAAAUUUCUUCCAAAUUCUUUUAAGGUUUGUAAUUCUGAACGGUUCUUGAAAGCAACUUUUUCCUUUGCAGAUUGUACUAGGAUAGUUUUAGGAAUGUUGUUGGUUUCUCGCAGUUUGAUGGCUUUCUGCCAGCAUGUCCAGCCAUAUUCUUGGGUUGAGUCAUUCCCAUAGAAUACAUUUGCACAACCAUUCAACUCCAAUUCUUCUAUCUGCUGUUCUGUAUCAAGUUUGUUUGGUGAAGUCGAGGUAUCGGGUUCUUGAAUUUUAUCUUUCAUAACCUUGGUGAAUCCUUCAACUUAACGAGGUUAAGAAUUUUGACUUCCUGAAGAAAAUCCAACUUCAUCUUCUUAGAGGCAUUACCAUGUUCCUCAGGUUUAGGAUUGAUGCGUAAUUCAAGUUGCCUUUUAGAACCCAUGGUCUACUGUGCUUUCAGUUGUUCAAUCUCUCUUUGGUGUAUAAGAAAUAAAUAUUAGAAACAGACAAAACCGGAUACAAUUUUAACAUUCGAUCAUUUGAUCACUUCCCUUGAUUUCUCUUCAGCAUAUCAAGUAAAAGUUCGCUAUUAUGCUCCUAUUCCUAUGUAAAUGUUUUUUUCUAUGACGCUUCAGUCUAUGGCUUAAUUGCAAUAUGUUUUGUUUCGAUACUGCUAAAAUUGAAUUGUUUUUCUGUUUGGCGUACCUACAUUAUUUUUUCCGAAAUUUGUCGUAUUGUUAGUUGUCUUUCGUUGGAGCAAAUAACAACCUUUGCUUGUGGAAAAUAAAACGAGUUAAUAACUUA
rnacentral:misc_RNA from 1 species